GCUCUUAUAGUGUAGAGGCUAUCACACGGGAUUUUGAAGCUUGCUCACUUUCCCGUAACCCAGGUUCGAACCCUGGUAGGAGCU